rnacentral:rRNA from 1 species
GGACAGAAAGACCCUAUGAAGCUCUACUGUAGUUUGGAAUUGGGUUCGGGCUCUUCUUGCGCAGCCUAGGUGGGAGGCUAUGAAGAUAAACUUUUGGGUUUAUUGGAGCCAACAGUGAGAGACCACUCUAGAGGAGCUAGAAUUCUAAUGGCGUUCCUUGAAGCAGGACGCUUGACAGUUUCAGAUGGGCAGUUUGACUGGGGCGGUCACCUCCUAAAAGGUAACGGAGGUGUGCAAAGGUUCCCUCAGGCUGGACGGAAAUCAGCCGUAGAGUGUAAAGGCAGAAGGGAGCUUGACUGCAAGACCUACAAGUCGAGCAGGGGCGAAAGCCGGCCUUAGUGAUCCGACGGUUCCGAGUGGAAGGGCCGUCGCUAAACGGAUAAAAGUUACUCUAGGGAUAACAGGCUGA